AACGAACGCUGGCGGCAUGCCUAACACAUGCAAGUCGAACGAGACCUUCGGGUCUAGUGGCGCACGGGUGCGUAACGCGUGGGAACCUGCCCUUAGGUUCGGAAUAACUCCCCGAAAGGGGUGCUAAUACCGGAUAAUGUCUUCGGACCAAAGAUUUAUCGCCUUUGGAUGGGCCCGCGUUGGAUUAGCUAGUUGGUAGGGUAAAAGCCUACCAAGGCGACGAUCCAUAGCUGGUCUGAGAGGAUGAUCAGCCACACUGGGACUGAGACACGGCCCAGACUCCUACGGGAGGCAGCAGUGGGGAAUAUUGGACAAUGAGCGAAAGCCUGAUCAAGCAAUGCCGCGUGAGUGAUGAAGGCGUUAGGGUUGUAAAGCUCUUUUGCCCGGGAUGAUAAUGACAGUACCGGGAGAAUAAGCUCCGGCUAACUCCGUG
rnacentral:rRNA from 1 species